UACGUAGGUGGCAAGCGUUGUUCGGAAUUAUUGGGCGUAAAGGGCGCGUAGGCGGUUUGUUAAGUCGGUUGUGAAAGCCCGGGGCUCAACCCCGGAGGGUCGACCGAUACUGGCAGGCUAGAGUACAGAAGAGGUAGCUGGAAUUCCCGGUGUAGCGGUGAAAUGCGUAGAUAUCGGGGAGGAACACCAGAGGCGAAGGCGGGCUACUGGGCUGAUACUGACGCUGAGGUGCGAAAGCGUGGGGAGCAAACAGG
rnacentral:rRNA from 1 species